rnacentral:rRNA from 1 species
GAUGAACGCUGGCGGCGUGCUUAAUACAUGCAAGUCGAACGGAAAGGCCAGUGCUUGCACUGGUACUCGAGUGGCGAACGGGUGAGUAACACGUGGGUGAUCUGCCCUGCACUUCGGGAUAAGCCUGGGAAACUGGGUCUAAUACCGGAUAGGACAAUGGUUUGGAUGCCGUUGUGGAAAGUUUUUUCGGUGUGGGAUGAGCUCGCGGCCUAUCAGCUUGUUGGUGGGGUAUUGGCCUACUAAGGCGUCGACGGGUAGCCGGCCUGGGAGGGUGUACGGACACAUUUGGGUGGAGAUACGGCCCAGACUCCGAAGGGAGGCAGCAGGGGGGAAUAUUGCACAAUGGGGGCAAGCCUGAUGCAGCGACGCCGCGUGGGGGAUGACGGCCUUCGGGUUGUAAACUCCUUUCGCUAGGGACGAAGCGUAUUUGUGACGGUACCUGGAGAAGAAGCACCGGCUAACUACGUG